GAUCCUGGCUCAGGACGAACGCUGGCGGCGCGCCUAACACAUGCAAGUCGAACGGAGUUAUUUUGGCAGAAGCCUUCGGGUGGACGCUGAUAUAACUUAGUGGCGAACGGGUGAGUAACACGUGAGCAACCUGCCCUUCAGAGGGGGGACAACAGUUGGAAACGACUGCUAAUACCGCAUAAGACCACGGUGUGGCAUCACACAGAGGUCAAAGGAGAAAUCCGCUGAAGGAUGGGCUCGCGU
rnacentral:rRNA from 1 species